UUUAAUCCCAGGACCCGGAAAGCAAAGGCAU
rnacentral:piRNA from 1 species